UAAGGAAUAUUGGUCAAUGGGCGGAAGCCUGAACCAGCCAUGCCGCGUGCAGGAAGACGGCCCUACGGGUUGUAAACUGCUUUUAUACGGGAAUAAACCCACCUACGAGUAGGUGGCUGAAUGUACUGUAAGAAUAAGGAUCGGCUAACUCCGUGCCAGCAGCCGCGGUAAUACGGAGGAUCCAAGCGUUAUCCGGAUUUAUUGGGUUUAAAGGGUGCGUAGGCGGCCUGUUAAGUCAGGGGUGAAAGACGGUAGCUUAACUAUCGCAGUGCCCUUGAUACUGAUGGGCUUGAAUAUACUAGAGGUAGGCGGAAUGUGACAAGUAGCGGUGAAAUGCAUAGAUAUGUCACAGAACACCAAUUGCGAAGGCAGCUUACUAUGGUAUGAUUGACGCUGAGGCACGAAAGCGUGGGGAUCAAACAGGAUUAGAUACCCUGGUAGUCCACGCCCUAAACGAUGAACACUCGAUGUUGGCGAUAUACGGUCAGCGUCUAAGCGAAAGCGUUAAGUGUUCCACCUGGGGAGUACGCCCGCAAGGGUG
rnacentral:rRNA from 1 species